GGAGUUUGUUGGCUGUGCAGAAGAGGAGUCAGUGUUGUGAAGAGCUGCCCAUGAGAAAUCAACAAGAAGCCCAGAAAGCCAAACAAAGCCAAAGUCCUGGGCUCCAUCAAAAGCAGCGUGGGCAGCAGGGCAAUGGAGGAGAUUCUGCUCCUUGGCUCUGCUCUUGUGAGAUCCCACCUGGAAUUCUGUGUCCAGCCCUGGGGUCCCCAACACAGGAAGGAAAUGAACCUGUUGGAACAAGUCCACAGAAGUGAAGCAAAGAUGGUCAGAAGGCUGAAACACCUCUCCUGUGAAGUCAGGCUGAGAGGACUGUGGGCUGUUCAGCCUGGAAAAGAGAAGGCUCCAGGGUGACCUCAUAGCACCUUUCAGCACCAAGAGAGGGGCUGUGGAAGGGCUGGGGAGGGACUUCUUACAAGGACAUGUGAACAAGGGGUAAUGUAUUUAAAAUGCCAGGGGGUAGGUUUAGAUUAAAUAUAAGGAAGAAAUUCCUUGCUGUGAAGAUGCUGAAACCAUGGACCAGGUUGCCCAGAGAAGUUGUGCGUGCUUGGAAGUGUUCAAGACCACGCUGAAUGGAACUUUGAGGCACACUGGUCUAGCAGGAAGUGUCCCUGCCCAUGGCACAGGUACUGGAACUAGAUAACCCUUCCAACCCAAACCUUUCUGUAAUUCCAUUCUAAUGUCUUUAUUCCUGCUAUGAAAAUGUGAGUCUGAAGACUGAAAUAUGUAAAGCUUCCUUCUUAGCCUGUAUACUUCUUUCAAAUGUAUAUGGUAGGUGGGGAGUCUCCUGGCAAGGGGAGAAAUAAAUGCAACAGAUGCACAGUAAGAGCAAAAAAGCUAUGAGAGUGCUUCCAAGAAUUGAAGAUGGCAUUAAAAGGUUAUUUACCUUGUGGCAAAUAA